AACGAACGCUGGCGGCAUGCCUAACACAUGCAAGUCGAACGAGACCUUCGGGUCUAGUGGCGCACGGGUGCGUAACGCGUGGGAACCUGCCCUUAGGUUCGGAAUAACUCCCCGAAAGGGGUGCUAAUACCGGAUAAUGUCUUCGGACCAACGAUUUAUCGCCUUUGGAUGGGCCCGCGUUGGAUUAGCUAGUUGGUAGUGUAAAAGCAUACCAAGGCGACGAUCCAUAGCUGGUCUGAGAGGAUGAUCAGCCACACUGGGACUGAGACACGGCCCAGACUCCUACGGGAGGCAGCAGUGGGGAAUAUUGGACAAUGGGCGAAAGCCUGAUCCAGCAAUGCCGCGUGAGUGAUGAAGGCCUUAGGGUUGUAAAGCUCUUUUACCCGGGAUGAUAAUGACAGUACCGGGAGAAUAAGCUCCGGCUAACUCCGUG
rnacentral:rRNA from 1 species